AUUGAACGCUGGCGGCAGGCCUAACACAUGCAAGUCGAGCGGAUGAAGGGAGCUUGCUCCUGGAUUCAGCGGCGGACGGGUGUGUAAUGCCUAGGAAUCUGCCUGGUAGUGGGGGAUAACGUCCGGAAACGGGCGCUAAUACCGCAUACGUCCUGAGGGAGAAGGUGGGGGUUCUUCGGACCUCACGCUUUCAGAUGAGCCUAGGUCGGAUUAGCUAGUUGGUGGGGUAAAGUCCUACCAAGGCGACGAUCCGUAACUGGUCUGAGAGGAUGAUCAGUCACACGGGAACUGAGACACGGUCCAGACUCCUAGGGGAGGCAGCGGUGGGGAAGAUUGGACAAUGGGCGAAAUCCUGAUCCAGCCAUGCCGGGUGUGUGAAGAAGGUCUUCGGAUUGUAAAGCACUUUAAGUUGGGAGGAAGGGCAGUAAGUUAAUACCUUGCUGUUGUGACGUUACCAACAGAAUAAGCACCGGCUAACUUCGUG
rnacentral:rRNA from 1 species